rnacentral:snRNA from 1 species
AAUGGUAGGGGCUGCGCGAACGCAAACCCCCUCUGCCACAAAUAAUGACGUAGGCUCUUCCUCAAGGGAAGACCUUAAGCUAAGCACCCCAGACAAAGUGCAGGCCGGUCACUAGCCUAGGCCACUCGUCAUCUUGAUCACGAGUAGACCCCGUCCAGGUAAGU